GCUGCGCCCUCCCCACUCCACAGAUGAGGAAGCUGAGGUUAAAGUCACUUGCCCCAGGUCACUCCGCAAGUUGAAGCGCAACCAGGAUACUCUGGAACAGGAUGCCUGACUUCAGAGGAGAGGCGCGUAACCACCAGGCAACUGGCCCCACGAAAACAAGUCCCGCAACUUCCCUUCUUUGGCUCCUACUUGCUCCCGGAAGAAAAGCCUUAAACGGUAUUCAAGCCCUUUAGGAUCUGAUGUCCUAGGACUCCACUCUGGGCUUCCAGCCUGGGGUGGUACUGGUCCCUAGGCAUGGAAGCUCCUCCCACUGCCCCUUCCUUCACCCGGCCACCUCCUCCCACAGGUGUCUUCCUGGUACUCUUGCACAGGCCCGAGUCCCUUACCACCACGGCCUUAGCCUGCUCUCGUGCUCUCAGUAAUGUUUUCUCCAUUUGCUGCCUUUCAUUCUUUCCAGAGAUUCUUGCUCAACCCAACCAGGCCAGCCCGGGGACUAGGGACAUGUAGGGACAAUAGUCCCUGCUUCAGGCAGUUCAGGGCAGACCACAGAGAUGUGACAUUACAGACCAUUGUGAGCAGAGGCCUUGUCCCAUUCUGUGUUGCAUCCCUAAGCCAGGAACAAAGUCCAGCCCAGGCCUGGCUCCAGGGGACACGCAGUAGUAUCCUCUGGCCUGUGCAAGUGUAUCUGUAGCCUCACAUGCCACCAUGUGAGUCUGCAAUCUGUCUGUGAAUGCCCUGGUGUAGAAGCCAGGAGUUUGGAGGUGGGAGGGAGCCCUACAGAAUGAUAGCCAGUGCUAACUCCUGGGAAUGUCCAGCCACUAAGACCUGCCCACAGCCCUGCCAUGCCAAUGUCCUCCUUUUCACGGGAGCAGCUUGCACAGACUUUCAGCGCACAGCUGGCAUUGUCUUCCCAGGAGCCAUCCUGUAACCCAGGCCAGGUGAAGGGCUCCUCCCUGGGACCCCACAGCCCCGUUCCCAUCAUCCUUUUGUGGUGAUCAAGGCACCCAUCACACAGUAUUGCCAUAAACCGGGUCAGGUUAACCUUUCAUUCCCUUAGGAGCUGGGUGGGGGCAGCCAAAAGUAUUUGUAGGAGGAAGAGAGAAAGGAGGGGACAGAGCUAGGAAGAAUGGGAGGACGGUCAGAACGCCCCUGUGAAGGAAGGAGAGCACCAAGUCCCCGUGUUCUGCCUACCCUCCCCCAGACAGCAGAUCAGGAGCACCCCGCGCGCCCCCCCCCGCCCCGCCCCGCGUCGGCGCCGGCCCCCUGCAAUGGUUGGCGGUAUGGGGAGGUGAACCAAGAAGGCCAGGAGUUCAAGUGCGUGAUCCCCCACUGGGGCAUAUAGGUUACAGCCGCCAGGGCAACUGAAACUCCUCAGGCUCCAGAGGGCUGAAGUGAGUCGCCUCCACGUUCUUGAGGUGCUUCCGAGCCAGGAACAGUGCGAGGCGCCGGCGCCGCCGCGAGCUCAGGCCCUGGCCCACCAGCCAUGGGAAGGCGGGUCCGUGUGGCCCCAGGGCCUCCUCGCCCUCCAGCUCCUCUUCGCAGCGUGCACGGUAGGAGCGCAGCAGCGCCAGGCACCAGUCCUCGUCCACGCGGUAGCGUGCAUAGAAGGCGGCCUCCUGCGCCAAGCUGCCAGCGCGCAGCCAGCGGGUGACGACGGCGCGGCCCUCUCGCGCCAUCACGACGGGGUAGCGGUGCUCCAGCAGGCGCAGCAGCAGCUCAUUGCCCCGGUUGCCCUCCACGUCACCAGGUGACAGGGGGCGCAGGCGGCCCGAAGUGCUGACCACGUCAUCCUGCGUGCGUCGGAGCAGCAGCACCGGCCCCGGGUAGCAGCACAGCUGCUCGGCCACGUUGAGGUUGAAGUGCUCGCGCACGGUGCGCACCACCAGCCCCUUCCAACUGUGGGGCAUGACCUUCAGCGCCAGCGGCACAAGGUCGUCGAAGGUGGCGUCCAGCACCAGUGCACCCAGCUCCGGGUAGGUCAUGGUGGCCCAGGUGGCCGUGAAGCCGCCAACAGACCAGCCGUAGACCACCAGGUGCGCGGGCGGGAAGUGCAGGCGGUGCAGUGCGUACUCGACCACCACGUCCAUGGCGUUGGCGUCGUGCUGAGGGAAGGGCACGCCAGUGCUGCUGCCGAAGCCGGGGUGGUUCCAGCCCAGCACGGAGUAGCCGGCCUCGAGCGGUGCAGACAGACAGCCCAUCUCGUAGAAGCCCGCGUUGCCUUCGCAGCAGAUGACGAGGCGCGGCCCGUGCACGUGGCUGCCCGGGUGCUGGCGGCGGUCCAUGAACAUAGUGUCGAUCUCGUUGCCGUCACAGGCCACCAGCUUGGCGCGCCGGCCGUGGUAGCGCUCCACGAGGCGCUCUUGGCCCUGCUGCAGCAGCGGCAGCAGCGCGCGCGUCAUCAGGGACACGGAGCCGGGGUACACGAGCCAGCGGCCCAGCGAGUGGGCCAGCGCGUAGCUAGCGAGCUGGCCGGGCAGCUCGCGGAGCUGCUGCAAGAGGCACUGCGCCUGGCUGCGCGCCCCACGUGGAGGCCGCCCCAGCGCAUCCCCGCCCAGCGUCUCGUCCCGCAGCAACCACACGCCCGCCGCGGCUGCCGCGCAGGUCAGCGCCCGGUGGCUGCUGCUCCGGCCCACGGCGCGCACGUCAUCCCAGCGGAAGGCCACGGGCCAGCCGCGGAAUGGGUAGGUGUAGCUGGCGGUCAGGUAGAUCUUGAACACGCGCACCAGCGCCUUCACGAAGCAGAUGACGCACAUGAGCGGUGGCCCUAACGCCCAGCCGCUGGGCCGGGAUCGCCGCGAGAGGCACAGGGCAGUCUUAGGGGAUACCGGCUCCCGGACAAGCCCUGAUGGCCUUUGUGACCUGGCCUUCCAGGGCGGAGGGAAGGCUGCAUCCUGUUGCUAGGUGAUGGGUGCACAAAGGGUUCCCAGAGAUGAUGAACCCAAGGUUCUGCCCGUCCCCCGCCUUCGCCAAGACCCCACCAGCUAAACGCUCCCAGGCCCAGCUUUCCCACCCAUGAUUUGAGCAGCUACUGUCUCCCUCUUUCUUCCUUAUUUAUUUAUUAAAUUGAGAUGGGGUCUCACUA
rnacentral:lncRNA from 10 species